GCUUAAAUGUGUUGCACCCUCUGGGGUAAACUUUGCCAGCCCGAAAUCCGCCACCUUGGCCUCGAAUCUUUCAUCCAAAAGUAUAUUACCGGCUUUAAUAUCCCUGUGAAUGAUUCCUGGUUGAGCUCCAUGAUGCAAGUAAGCCAAUCCUCUGGCGGUCCCCAGUGCAAUCUUUUGCCUAAUAGGCCAACUGAGCUUUUCCCUCCGAGAUCCAAACAGGUGGUCAUGUAAACUCCCAUUCUUAAUCAAAUCACACACAAUUAUCCUCUGGUGACCCUCAAAUGGAGUAGUGGCAGUACA
rnacentral:misc_RNA from 1 species